CAACUCGUGCAUCUGUUGGUAGCUUCAAAGUCUACAUUUGGUAUUAGACAACAAGAAGAAGAGCCUCACCUUAUGGAUUUAUAAGCAGACUUGAUUCGAAACACAAAACUGAAAAAGGCUGCCUUUAACUAAGAAUAAGUUGAAGCAUGCCAAAUUCAGAUAAGAUUGAUAUGUCAAGUAUAAAGAAAGCUAAGUUUAGGUAGACUUCUGCAAUUUCAUCUGUUUGAAGCAAUUCAUUUCCUUGGACAUAGCAAAGUAUGUAAACCAUUUUUAAUUGAAGAUGCUUUUAUUUCUCCUACUAAAACUAGAUAGUAAUAGUACAGUAUGCAACCACUGCAAUAGUUCCUAUCAUAUGCCUUAAGUAUUACCACCUUGGAAGUCCUCAAUUCAUUCACUGCCAUGCGAAGAGAGUCAUCAGAUAAUAUCAACCGUGAUAGUGCCCCUGUGCUUAACCCCAGAAAUUUUGCUGCAUCUGAUAUAGAACCCUCAACAGCAAAUACUAGAUCCAGCAACGCUUGCAUUCCCUACAGUAUAAAGUUUUCAAAAUAAACUUAGGAUUGUUAGGCCCUAUUUGAGGACCGCAAUAUGACCCUCUAAACGUCGACUUAGGAGGAAGAAUUUGAAGAAGCUCAGGAGGCGGCGAAUAUGCAUCAAGAUCCAGAGUGUUCCUGACUAACUCAAAAGUAGUACAGUAGGAGAAAACUAAACUAUUGUUCAUAUUAUUAUUACAAAAAUUAAGAAAAAAAAGCAAUAAAUACCUCUGACGGCUAAAAGGGUGCGCAGGCGUCUUAAAGCUGAAGCACGAUUCUUGUGCUGUGAACGGUCCUCAACAGCCUGAGAAAUAAUACCGGUGGGGAUGUGUUUGAGGCGGACGGCGGACUCGCGCUUGUUGCGGUGCUGACCACCAGGGCCCGACGCCUUGAAUGUGUCCAUCACGCACUGUUUCAUGAGUUCCUCGUCAGUUAAUUCCAAGUAUUUGCUUCCAAUUAUAUUACUAGCAGCGCUGUGAGUAAAACAACACAGUUGGAAUUCUGGGCGCAUGCUUGUUAUCGUUGUCGUAUUUGUAUUGUUACAGAAGAAACUGCGACUGUAAUGGGCCACAAUACAGCCAUUACUUGUGCUUCUGCUUAUGCGUCUGCUUGCAAAUCUAAGAAGAGAAUUGGAUUUCCAUGCCAGCUGAGUUGCCAUUGACAUCUUGUGGAAAGUGUUCCCAAACAUUCCGACCAAGGGAAUUAUAUUUG
rnacentral:misc_RNA from 1 species